rnacentral:tRNA from 1 species
AUAGCUCAGUGGUAGAGUGCGUGCUUAGCAUGCACGAGGUCCUUGGUUCAAUCCCAUAU